ACCCGCUUCCCCAUUCGCUAGUCCCAUCUCUGCUCGGCCGGUCUCUACCGACGUAAACGUGGAAGAGGAAGGCCCCAUCUAGAGCGAGGAGAUCAAGAAGAGCGAGGAAGAGGAAGGGUAACUUCCAUCCAUCGCUUCGUCCCUUCUCCUUGUCUCUCACUCUUCCUGCCUCCUCCCCCUCUUUUCUUCUUUCUGCUACCACUAUCUAGAGAAAAGAAAGAAAGCUAAUUUAACACACCAGAUGGCUCGCUCUCUCUCAGGUGCUGUUGCUCUCGUGGCAUCUCUCUCCGACAACAUCACCCUCUUCGUCGACUAUAAAUUUCUCCCCCUAAUCACUGUAGAUUUCUCCCCCUAAUUACUACAUAUUUCUUUACCUAAUCACUGCAGAUUUCUCCUCCUCCAGCAUCACUGAAGCUUCCUCCUCCAGCAUCACUGUAG
rnacentral:lncRNA from 1 species